AGAGUUUGAUCCUGGCUCAGGACGAACGCUGGCGGCGUGCUUAACACAUGCAAGUCGAACGGGGUUUAGCGAGGAGUUUACUUCUUACUAAACCAAGUGGCGGACGGGUGAGUAACGCGUGGAUAACCUGCCCCAUAGCCUGGGAUAACGCCGGGAAACCGGUGCUAAUACCGGAUAAGUUCAUCUGGUUGCAUAACCGGAUGAAGAAAGGUGCAAACCGCUACAGGAUGGGUCCGCGUCCCAUUAGCUUGUUGGUAGGGUAACGGCCUACCAAGGCCGCGAUGGGUAGCCGGCCUGAGAGGGCGACCGGCCACACUGGAACUGAGACACGGUCCAGACUCCUACGGGAGGCAGCAGUGGGGAAUCUUCCGCAAUGGGCGCAAGCCUGACGGAGCAACGCCGCGUGAGUGAUGAAGGUUUUCGGAUUGUAAAACUCUGUCCAAAGGGAAGAAACAAAUGACGGUACCUUUGGAGGAAGCCCCGGCUAACUACGUGCCAGCAGCCGCGGUAAAACGUAGGGGGCGAGCGUUGUCCGGAAUUACUGGGCGUAAAGGGCGUGUAGGCGGCUUGCGCAAGUCAGUCGUGAAACCUAUCGGCUUAACCGGUAGCUGUCGAUUGAAACUGUCGGGCUUGAGUGCAGAAGAGGGGAGUGGAAUUCCCAGUGUAGCGGUGAAAUGCGUACAUAUUGGGAGGA
rnacentral:rRNA from 1 species